GCACAAGCGGUGGAGCAUGUGGUUAAUUCGAAGCAACGCGAAGAACCUUACCAGGUCUUGACAUCCCGAUGCUAUUUCUAGAGAUAGAAAGUUACUUCGGUACAUCGGUGACAGGUGGUGCAUGGUUGUCGUCAGCUCGUGUCGUGAGAUGUUGGGUUAAGUCCCGCAACGAGCGCAACCCCUAUUGUUAGUUGCCAUCAUUCAGUUGGGCACUCUAGCGAGACUGCCGGUAAUAAACCGGAGGAAGGUGGGGAUGACGUCAAAUCAUCAUGCCCCUUAUGACCUGGGCUACACACGUGCUACAAUGGUUGGUACAACGAGUUGCGAGUCGGUGACGGCGAGCUAAUCUCUUAAAGCCAAUCUCAGUUCGGAUCGGAGGCUGCAACCCGCCUCCGUGAAGUCGGAGUUGCUAGUAAUCGCGGAUCAGCAUGCCGCGGUCGAAUACGUUCCCGGGCCUU
rnacentral:rRNA from 1 species